AUGAGUUCCGUGGACAAGAAGCCGGAGGGAGGGAACACUGGUACUGGUGACUACAACCAGAACACGGAGUGGCCAGAGUUGGUGGGGAAGUUGGUGGAGGAGGCCAAGAAGGUGAUUUUGCAGGACAAGCCAGAGAGGCACGUGAUGACCCCGUUGAUGAUCUUGGUCGGACCAUUGCUGAUGCACGGAGACGCUGCGAAACUGAAAAGGAGAGGGAGAAUUUGGAUCGCCUUUUUUCCACCAGUGAUUGUGACCAUGGAAUAUCGGAUCUACCGUGUUCGCCUCUUUGUUGACAGACUCGACACCGUUGCCCAGGUCCCCAGGGUCGGCUAG
rnacentral:rRNA from 1 species